GGUAGGCGCGGAUGUUGGUGUGGAUCAGCACGUGUCUCUUCAUGUUGGCCAGCAGCGUGAACUCCCGCCCGCAGAUCCCGCACUUGUGCUCCUUCACGCCCUGGAAGGGGGCAAGAGGCGAAAGAACCGUGGUUAGCAGGACGGUCUGAGACUCCAGAAGUCGAGAUGGGAAAGGGCUUGAUGGCUAGUCUCCUCACUCUCCCCCAUUUCAAGGUGAGGAAGAAGAACGUCUGGGCUCAGGUGCUCCAGGCUGCGGUAGAACUGAAAGCCCACGUUGCACAGGUCGAUCAUCCGAGAGUCGUACUUGGGCCGUGGCGGCGGCGGCGGCGGCGGCGGCGGCAAGAGCAGCCGGAGUUCCGGGGGCCCGGGGUUCUUGCUCUCCUCCGGGUGCAGGGCAAGAGCGGCUUCUUCCGAGGGGUGGUUAUAGGGCAUCUUGGUGGGCAUGCUCUUCCGUUUGCGAGACCCUCCUCCUUCAAAGACCCCCGGGAAUCCGUCUAGGUCUCCUGGAGGAGGCUCAUACCGGAACUGGGAAAACGGCCCCCGGAGAGCUUCCUGGAAGGGGUGUCUUGGAGGAGCUCUUCCUCGGGAAACCACUGGCUGCAGGCCGUGGGGGAAGGAGGGGCCCCUCUUCGCACCCAAACUGAAAUGCACAUCCUCGUCUUUGACCAUCUUCAUUUCCUUCUGCAUCCUUGGCAAUUUUCCUUUAAAGAGAAAGAAACUUAUAGUUAAAAAAAAAAAAAAAUCCCUUUUUCCAUGAAGAGUUGUGGCUAGACGUCAGUACUAAUUUAUGAAGAGUAAUGUUUGUUUAAUACCGCUCCCCAUUUAUCCUAAGGCUGUUUAAAAUAUCAUAUUUUCCCCCUUGCAAACCCGGUUACUAAUGUGGAAAGCACUGGCCUCCUGGAGUGGGACCCUAGGGCUCCAGUGUAAAUCACAGCCACAAAACCAUAGCUGGGGGUGGAGGAGGGGAGGUAUGAGCGUGGGCUGGAUUGGGAGGAAACCUGAGACCUCAUCUGGCCAUUGUCCCCAUCUGAGAUGAGGGUACCAAGGCCCAGAGAGGUGAAGCAACGUGCUUGAGUCCCACAGCUACUCAGAGCAGGAGUCAGAACUGGGACACAUUCUUCUGCGACUUUUCAGCCUGAGAUGGAAUUGCAUCUGCCAAAUGGCGCUUUAAAUGUCUUUUAGGGUGUCAUUCAGAACAAAGCUUGGCCUUUGGUGUUGGUGACUCCUGUGGUGCCUGUCAUUUCCCUGCUGAACCAGUUACUGUGUCCUGGUGACAGCAUCAGACAAUGUUUUAUGUAGACAUUAGCAAUUAUCUUUGGGAGAGAAAAUGAUGAGUGCCUGCCCUGUAAUUCUUGGUGAGAGGUCAAACACCCAAAGGCGUGGAAGCCAGAAGAUCCAGCUUGUAAGGCAAGGGAACCUGAAGAUAUCAUAGAAGAGUUUGAAAUGUUGAAAAGAAAAAUCCUUUUGGGAGCUCUGAUAAUGAAGAUAAAGAGAAGGAAGAACUACUUGGACUUCCUUAACCCGGUGUCAAUGAGUGUUGAGACUGAAAAGGUUGUUACACAUUAUCCAGCUCCACCACACUUCCUUGUUGUAAGCUGAGGCACAGAGGAGUAAACUGACUUCCUCAAAUUCACACAGUUAAUUAACGACAAAGUAUUCAAUUUUAAAAUUUAAGAGGCUCUAUUUAAGAUAUUACUUAUUUUGUUUUUAAAGUUGUUUUAGAAGGACCUCUAUUUCCAGGGCUUUGUGCAUGGAUUUAAGGUCUGUGUCGCUGCUUUGAUGGUUUCGAGCUGUGCUGUCCUAUUCAGUGCUCAUCAGCCAUACGUGGCUCAUGAGCACAUGAAAUAUGACUAAUCUGAUUUGAGACAUGCUAUGCAUGUAAAACAUAUACUGGAUUUCAAAAAUUUGGCGAAGGAAAGGUAAAAUAUCUCAUUAAUUGUUAUUUUAUUGAUUAAUGUUAAAAUAACAUUUUUGAGUUAUUGGGUUAAAUAAAAUAGAUUUG